UCAAUCGUGAUGCGUAGCUAACAUGUUGGAAGAAUCCUCUAUAGAGGGGUCUUCAAUGAAAUUCACUUGUUAUGGUUGGCUUUUUAGCUUU
rnacentral:snoRNA from 1 species